rnacentral:misc_RNA from 1 species
AAGUCGUAACAAGGUUUCCGUAGGUGAACCUGCGGAAGGAUCAUUAACACGUAUCCAACGUGAACUUUCAGCUUGCUAAGCAGCAAUCCCUGGUAAAUCAUUGUUGACCAGCUUUUGAGUCAGGGACCUUUGCAGAUUUUGAUAUUUUAUAGCUACGGUUGAGCGAUUGCAUCUAGUGACCUGGCAUCCCCAAGUAAUCAGUGUUCUGAAAGUGUCAUUGAUUGUGUAAGGAUGGCGCAGUCACGAUCGCUGUAGGCCCACACGGCCGGCGACCGGGUCACCGGGCUCUGCUCCUUUACGACAACUACAGUCUAACUUCGCCGCGCGUGAAAUUCGCACGGCACCAAAAACCGAACAACUGUUAACAAUGGAUAUCUUGGUUCUC